AACCAUUUAAAGGGUUGUUGCAGCGUACAAUUUAAUUGUUCCCUGCAAAAAAGUUUAUUGCAGCGUACAUUUUAAAAGCCCCCUGCUAUAACUUUUUGUUGCAGCGUACAAUUUAAAAGCCCCCUGCAAUAGCCGGGUAAAAAAUUGCUCCCUAAGUGAUUCAGAAUACAAAUUUUCAUUUCUCGCGCUCAACUCCCUCUUCUUCCCUUACCUUUCCCUGCGUCGUCCCCUAAAAAAAAACCUAAGACGCAUCUCAAAAUUUCAGUUCUCGUUGUUCGCGUCCCGUUCUCCUCUCCUCACUUCGAACACUCUUUCUCUUCGUUCCUCUGCAUCGCCGGCCACCACCUCCUUCAUGUCGCCGCUGCUGGUGUGGUGGUUGCGAUGGUUAUUGCGUUGUUGUGGUUGAUGGUGUUGUCCCGCCUCCGUGCUCGCCUUUCCUCUGUUUGUCGCCGCCAAUAAUGGUGGCCACCAACACAACAUCAUUUGCAAUCCAUCACUAAUUGGUAAGUUGAUUUCAAUUUCUCCUUCAAUUGAUUUAAUAAGUUCGUGAUUUAAAAUCCCAAAACCCGGCCUAACUAAUCGAUUUCAAUUUUCUUUUCCCCAUUGCUUGCGCCGCCCCUUCUGGUUGUUGGGUGCGACGGCGCUCUGUCGUCGCCGCCGCCUCCUUGUUCGUUGUUGUGAAUGCUAAUUAUGGUCUUGCUCUCCCCUUCCCUCUCCUCCAUUGUUGCUGCCCGUUUCUAGCCCAAGUUUCAUUGUCUCCUUCCCAAACAAUCCUCCUGAUCCAAAAAAGGAUAGUGCCGCAGUUCAGAAAUUCUUUGCCAAUAUGGAAGUCGCAUUCAGGGCGCAUCCACUUUGGAGCUGUUGUUCAGAAGAGGAGCUUAAAAGUGCUGGUGAAUUGCAGGGAGUGGAGACGUUUUUCACUGUAAUUCGGGCUUGUUGCGGGGUCGGAAUUAUUGGGUUUACCUUAUGGUAAUUUUCUUGAUGCUAGGUCUUCAAAGAAACCUGCAUUUUAGCAUCGUCUUUCUAGAGAACGGAAAAUUCAUUGGCAAUCGUCGUCGACUUCUCCGGUGAGGAUCACGUGCCACUGAUUACAGUUGAUGCUGCUCUUCUGCUACACUUUCUCAUAUUCUUUUUAGCAGUCUGUCUUGUGCUAUACAGUGCAGUAACAAUGAUGCUUGGAAAGCUGAAGUUUUCUUUACUCAGCCCUGUUGCUGACUGAUCUGCUCCUACUGACUGAUCUUCUGCUACACUGCUGCUGCACUAGUGCAAUGUUGCUGCUGAUUGAUCUGUUGUUACGCUGUUGCUGCUGCACUAGUGCAAUGUUGCUGCUGCUGGAUUAUUGUUGUUGCUGCUGCUUGAUUUAUGUUGUUGAUGUAGCUUGAUUAUUGUUGUUGCUGAUGCUUGAUUAUUGUUGUUGCUGCUGCUUGAUUAUUGUUUUUUUUGUUUCUGGUUGCUGCACUUGUGUGAAUGUUCUAACCGCCACAUUUUGUAUGUUUUACUUGAUUCAGGAACUCCCUAGGUACCAUGAAUAAUAACCAAAAUUUGUUGGGCAUGAAUCAGAAUGUGGCAGUGAUCGAGUUAUUACUCCCGCAACAGGUCACGAAUCAUAAGGUAUUAGUACGAUUACAGGAGUACUACAUAAAACAAUUAUUUUUUACUUUCUUCGUUCCUAAAUAGAGAUGGCAUUUCUUAUUAGUCUAUCCCAAAAUAAGAAGCCACCUUACAUUUAGACUUCAGCAUAUCACCCUUUAACAAUACCUUUAACUAAGAGUUCUAACGAAAAACCACAUGUAGGUCAUAUUUAGGCUAAAGUGACAUUUUCGCUCCCAACUAUGAACUAAAGAACCUAAGGACUCAUUUUAAACUUACUAAAUAUUUUAUAUGCUUAGUUUUAACUUUCUAGGACUAAUUCCAAUCCAUUUAUACACAUUUAAGGCUCAUUGUGUCGUUAUAGGUCAUAUUUAAGCUAAAAUGACAUUUUCGCUCCCAACUAUGAACCAAAGAACCUAAGGACUCAUUUUAAACUUACUAAAUGUUUUAUAUGCUUAUUUUUAACUUUCUAGGACUCAUUCCAAUCCAUUUAUGCACAUUUAAGGCUCAUUGUGUCGUUAUAGGUCAUAUUUAGGCUAAAAUGACAUUUUCGCUCCCAACUAUGAACCAAAGAACCUAAGGACUCAUUUUAAACUUACUAAAUGUUUUAUAUGCUUAUUUUUACCUUUCUAGGACUCAUUCCAAUCCAUUUAUGCACAUUUAAGGCUCAUUGUGUCGUUAUAGGUCAUAUUUAGGCUAAAAUGACAUUUUCGCUCCCAACUUUGAACUUAAGAACCUAAUGACUCAUUUUAAACUUAUUAUAUGAUAAAUAUGCUUAGUUUUAAGUUUCUAAGACUUAUUCUAAUCUACUUAUACCCAUUUAAUGCUUGUUUGAUAGUUAUAGGUCAUAUUUAGGCUAAAAUGAGGCAUUUUCGCUCCUAACUUUAAAAUAAAGAACCUAAGCACUCAUUUUAAACUUAAUACAUGUUUAAUAUGCAUAAUUUUAACGAUCUAAGACUCGUUCCAAUCUAUUUAUGCACCUAUAGGCUCAUUGGGUCGUUAUAGGUCAUAUUUAGGCUAAAAUGACAUUUUCGCUCCCAACUUUGAACUAAAGAACCUAAGGACUCAUUUUAGACUAUUAGGACAUUGUCAUUAGUUUCUUGAAUGUUAAAAUGUGAUAUUUAAUUUGUAUUUAAUCUAAUGUUUAAUUUAAAUUUCUGUUUUUGUAAAGGUCUACACUCCGAGGAUUGCGCCUUAUGCGAGGAAUUUGAUGUGGUUUGUGAGCAAUGGGCUAAGUUUUUUACCAACAAGUAUUUAUUAUUGGCUUUAGCGCGCUUGAUCGAGUUGGUUUAGUUGUUAUAGAAUAAAUUUUAUAUUAAAAUGUAUGUUUAUGUUGAAAUUGGAACAUAUAUUUAAAUGUAAUAUGUGCACUUUGGUUUUGGGAUAUAUAGUAUACAAAACUCCAGUUGUUGUUUUUA